rnacentral:rRNA from 1 species
UGGGGAAUUUUGGACAAUGGGCGAAAGCCUGAUCCAGCAACUCUGCGUGAGGGACGAAGCCCUUCGGGGCGUAAACCUCUUUUAUUGGGGACGAAUGCUCGCAAGAGCUUGACGGUACCCAGUGAAUAAGUCUCCGCUAACUACGUGCCAGCAGCCGCGGUAACACGUAGGAGACAAGCGUUAUCCGGAUUUACUGGGUGUAAAGCGCGUGUAGGCGGCUCUGUAAGUUGGAUGUGAGAGCUCCUGGCUUAACUGGGAGAGGUUGUUCAAGACUGCAGGGUUUGAGGGUAACAGAGGGGAGUGGAAUUCCGAGUGUAGCGGUAAAAUGCAUAGAUAUUCGGAAGAACACCAGUGGCGAAAGCGGCUCUCUGGGUUACAUCUGACGCUCAGACGCGAAAGCUAGGGGAGCAAACGGGAUUAGAGACCCCGGUAGUCCUAGCCGUAAACGAUGUGAACUUGGCGUUGGUGGGUUUAAAUCCGUCAGUGCCGAAGCAAACGCGAUAAGUUCACCACCUGGGGACUACGGCCGCAAGGUUA